rnacentral:rRNA from 1 species
CGGUAAUUCCAGCUCCAAUAGCGUAUACUAAAGUUGUUGCAGUUAAAAAGCUCGUAGUUGGAUUUCUGCGGGGGUGGGGCGCCCUGGGCUUUUAGUCUAUGGAGCAGCAACUCCUCCGCAUCCUGCCGCGAACCACGCUACCAUUCGUUUGGUGGCGUCUGGGGACCGGCUCGUUUACUUUGAGAAAAAUAGAGUGUUCAAAGCAGGCCUGAUGCCUUGAAUAAUGUAGCAUGGAAUAAUGAUAAAGGACUUUGGUUCUAUUUUGUUGGUGUUCGGGACCGAAGUAAUGAUUGAUAGGGACAGUUGGGGGCGUCUGUAUUCUGAAGCAAGAGGUGAAAUUCUUAGACCUUCGGAAGACAAACAGCUGCGAAAGCGUUCGCCAAGGAUGUUCCCUUUGAUCAAGAACGAAAGUUGGGGGAUCGAAGACGAUCAGAUACCGUCGUAGUCUCAACUAUAAACUAUACCAGCUAGGGAUCGGCCAACGUUGAUAUCAAAAGACUUGGUCGGCACCUUAUGAGAAAUCAAAGCAUCUGGGUUCCGGGGGGAGUAUGGUCGCAAGGCUGAAACUUAAAGGAAUUGACGGAAGGGCACCACCAGGCGUGGAGCCUGUGGCUUAAUUUGACUCAACACGGGGAAACUUACCAGGUCCAGACAUGAGAAGGAUUGACAGAUUGACAGCUCUUUCUUGAUUUUAUGGGUGGUGGUGCAUGGCCGUUCUUAGUUGGUGGAGUGAUUUGUCUGGUUAAUUCCGUUAACGAACGAGACCCCAGCCUGCUAAAUAGCGCGCGUGUCCUCUGGCCGCGGCGAGCUUCUUAGAGGGACUAUCGCUCGUUAUAGGCGAGGGAAGUUUGGGGCAAUAACAGGUCUGUGAUGCCCUUAGAUGUUCUGGGCCGCACACGGGCUACACUGACGCGUGCAACGAGCAUACCAGCUGGCCCGACAGGGCGUAGGCUAAUCUUUUGAACUCGCGUCGUGCUAGGGAUUGACCAUUGCAAUUGUUGUCAUGCAACGAGGAAUGCCUUGUAAACGCGGGUCAUCAACCCGCAUUGAAUACGUCCCUGCCCUUUGUACACACCGCCCGUCGCUCCUACCGAUGAAUGUUCCGAUGAAAUUUUCGGAGGGCGCCUGUGAAGCGGUGCAAACCGCGGAACGGGAGGCCCGAAGUUGCUUAAAUCUGAACAUUUCGAGGAAGGAGAAGUCGUAACAAGGU